rnacentral:rRNA from 1 species
ACUGGGAAUAUUGCGCAAUGCUCGCAAGAGUGACGCAGCGACGCCGCGUGAACGAAGACGGCCUUCGGGUUGUAAAGUUCGCAAGAUGGGGAGGAAAUCUUGACUUAACCCAUCACAAGCCUUGACUAACCACGUGCCAGCAGUCGCGGUGAUACGUGGAAGGCAAGCGUUAUCCGGAUUUAUUGGGCGUAAAGGGCAUGUAGGCGGAGGAAUAAGUCUUUCAUUAAAUCCUUUGGCUUAACCAAAGAAUUGUGCUAGAUACUGUUCUUCUAGAGGAAGACAGGGGCAGAUGGAACUUGCGGUGUAGGGGUGAAAUCCGUUGAUAUCGCAAGGAACACCAAUGGCGAAAGCAGUCUGCUGGGUCUUUCCUGACGCUAAGGUGCGAAAGCGUGGGGAGCGAACGGGAUUAGAAACCCUUGUAGUCC